CCUACCUAUAACUGGGGGAUAGCCCGCCGAAAGGCGGAUUAAUACCGCAUAAGCUGCUUGAGUGGCAUCACUCGAGUAGUAAAGAUUUAUUGGUUAUAGAUGGGGUUGCGGGUCAUUAGCUAGUUGGUAAGGUAACGGCUUACCAAGGCGACGAUGACUAGGGGAGCUGAGAGGCUGGUCCCCCACACGGGCACUGAGAUACGGGCCCGACUCCUACGGGAGGCAGCAGUAGGGAAUAUUGGGCAAUGGGCGAGAGCCUGACCCAGCCAUGCCGCGUGCAGGAAGAAGGCUUUCUGAGUCGUAAACUGCUUUUGACAGGGAAGAAUAAGCGCUACGUGUAGCGUGAUGACGGUACCAGCAGAAUAAGCACCGGCUAACUCCGUGCCAGCAGCCGCGGUAAUACGGAGGGUGCGAGCGUUGUCCGGAUUUAUUGGGUUUAAAGGGUGCGUAGGCGGCCCGUUAAGUCCGGGGUGAAAGCCCGCUGCUCAACAGCGGAACUGCCCUGGAUACUGACGGGCUUGAG
rnacentral:rRNA from 1 species